rnacentral:sRNA from 1 species
AUUAAAGCAUCACUCCGUAUUUUCUUAAAAUAAACCUCAGCAAUUAACGGGGUUACCGUCUUUUUCGGAUUAAACUCAGAUUCAGAAUUUGAGAUAACUAACAGACAUCAGGAAUUAUCCGAUAAAAAAAUGCCGGCAUAUCGCCGGCAUUGUUCAUGACA